GCUCCGGCACCACCACCACGGGCGGGGCUUCCACCACAAUCUCCUUUUCUUUGACCACAGUAGUACUGGUGCCGCAGCUCUCUUCAGUGGUGGUGGUGGUAGUAGCGUUCUCCUCAGCAGCCUCAACAGGUGGUGGGGCCGGGGCCGGGGCAGCCUCUUCUUUCUUCUCAUCCUCUUUCUCCUCAACUACUAUAAAGGUAGACACCUUCUCCAACACAAAAAAUACUGGACCGGGUAUAUAUCCUACCCCCACCUUCGUACCCGCUUCGCACACAGCCUUCGUUCCCGGAAAUUCUAUUAAUUAUAUAUAUUAUAUAUAUUGCCGCCACAGAAACAGAACAUGAUCAAUAAUUAAUUAUUAUUAUAAGACUACUAUGAUGAUGAUGAUGAUGAUGAUGAUGAUGAUGUGUGAAUAUAGAUAGACAUACCG
rnacentral:lncRNA from 1 species